AUUGAACGCUGGCGGCAGGCCUAACACAUGCAAGUCGAGCGGAUGAAGGGAGCUUGCUCCUGGAUUCAGCGGCGGACGGGUGAGUAAUGCCUAGGAAUCUGCCUGGUAGUGGGGGAUAACGUCCGGAAACGGGCGCUAAUACCGCAUACGUCCUGAGGGAGAAAGUGGGGGAUCUUCGGACCUCACGCUAUCAGAUGAGCCUAGGUCGGAUUAGCUAGUUGGUGGGGUAAAGGCCUACCAAGGCGACGAUCCGUAACUGGUCUGAGAGGAUGAUCAGUCACACUGGAACUGAGACACGGUCCAGACUCCUACGGGAGGCAGCAGUGGGGAAUAUUGGACAAUGGGCGAAAGCCUGAUCCAGCCAUGCCGCGUGUGUUAAGAAGGUCUUCGGAUUGUAAAGCACUUUAAGUUGGGAGGAAGGGCAGUAAGUUAAUACCUUGCCGUUUUGACGUUACCAACAGAAUAAGCACCGGCUAACUUCGUG
rnacentral:rRNA from 1 species